CGGUCCCAAAUCCUUCUCCGUGAGGAUCCACCCCUGAUGGUUGCCGCGUGGUCACGGAUCUGACGUAGUGACGCCCGCCUAGCUCUCAGCUUGACGACUCGGUUUCAUCGCACAGGGAUGGACAUGGACGGGGUUCGCUCGGCCAGACUCGAGAGCCGCUUGCAUCUCGUCGGAGGCAACACCGCCGCCUUGGUUUGCCAGAGUCGCCUCACCUAUUAGCGCGUUUCCCUCGUCCGGCCACGCCAAGCUCCACCUCCACACCCCUGCUCCUUCGCCGCUGUCGUGUUCAUUAUCCUCCGCCAUCUUCGAAGCCGUCGUGGUCCGCCAUAGAUACCACCUGCCCCCUCGUAUAGUCGUAUGGUCGUGUCAAGAGACACCUCCACUUCCCUCCUCUCGUCUGGCACCAUACCCUCCUCGCCACAUCAAGAUUCAAGAGGUACGUAAGGUUGAGCAAUUUGUUAGGUUCUCCAACUAUUCAAUCCCUAUUCUUGCUAUUCAAUUCAGUUAACUCAAUACAAUCUGUCAGUUAACUCCAUGCAAAAUUUUUUGUCAUUUGCCUAUAAAUGCUCCUCCCUGUUAAAGGGGAACUUCGACUUGUUCUGCAUCGAAUCAUUGAACUGGUAAAUCCUAGAGUAGAUAACAGUAGUCUUGCCGUUUGUUUUCCCCCUCUUUGCUUUAUUCAUGACACAAUUGAUGUUAUCUUGAGUUGAUGCAGACCAGAGACAGGUCGAUGAGCAAACUGUGCACACACGGGUUGAUUAGCAACUGCUGCUUAUGUUUUCAUGGGAUUGAAUGCAGGACUGUUGCAUGUGCAAUUGCAUGCUUAUGCUUUCUUGGGUUUGGAAGGCAGGUCUAUUGUUGGAUGUAGGUUAUGGAUUUUCCUUUAUAGUCGAUUUUGCAAAUGGCAUUUAUAUUGUUGCAUAUUGAUCAAGUACGUAUUGUUUUAUGAGCGUUGCUUGAGCUUUUAUCUUAGAGCAGGAUUUGAUUUUUUGCAUAUCCG
rnacentral:lncRNA from 1 species